rnacentral:lncRNA from 1 species
AGUGUCCAAGCCCUUCUCACCCAGGCCUGAAGUGUGCCCACCAGCACGCCUGGACCCGGUGCCCUUUGAAGACCCCAGGACCACCCCUCUUGCUGGGUGCACUGGCAGCGGCAUCUUUCUGUGUUCAUGAACACAGGUUCUUGGACCAGGAGUUUGGCCUCACACCAGUGCUGCAGUGGCAGGGCCAGCACCUGUGACAUCAGGAAGUUGUGCUCCCAAGGAGCUGGGACACUCACCAAGGCAGCUCAGGACGGCUGGACUCGAAGCGUGCUCACCGUUUGGACUGUGUGCGUUUCUCUCGGAGCAAUCUUCUCCCCUGUUAUUGCUAAGCCUCUGAGAGGACUGGCUUCUCAAGGCUCAGAGAGUUUGAUUAACCCAAUUGCUUAUUCCAGGUAAAUUGGAUUUUGAGGAAAUUGGUUGGAUAUAGGAGGAAAAAUGGCAGAGGAAGUCAUGUGACCCACAACAAAGACAGAAUGAGGGACAGGGGCUCCCAGAGAAGCUGAUUCCUGGGCUGUGCAGGACACUCCCCAUCUCUGCCGAAGGGUUCAGCCGGAAGCUUCUAGAAUCUCCUUAAAUGCUGAGAUGGCAUGACCUAGUUGGCAGUGGGAGAACUGAAAACUUUUUUUCCCUAAAACACAUAUCGUUUACAAAAUGGGUUUGCAUAUUCUUGGCAUUGCACAACAUAACGUUUUGAAAAAACGCAUUCCCUUAGUUAUUCCUGCAGGAGAUUUUUAAGCCUGAUGUACUGCUAGGUGUCAAUUCUGACUCUGAAAAUGAACGUACUUCAGGAGGCCGCGGUGUUUGGGAGGAAAACCAUUUGCCCAAGUGCAGGCCUGUUUGUUAUCUGUGGCUGCACGUGACUGCCCGUGAAAGGGAGACAUAGAUUCCUGCCACCAUCUGUCCUGGUGGCCUUCUCUCUGGACUUCGCAUUUCAGCCCCUUUUCAUCCACAAAUAAGCCCUUUUCCCACCCUGGGCCAGUGCAGGAUCCUAGGCCCCUCCAGAAACAUUCAUCCCAGUUUUCAGCGCAUAGGGCUCUGCUGUUUGGGUUCAUUCCUCCUCCGCUGAAGGAGGAUAGUGGGGGGCCCAGCGGCUGUGUGGGGAGGGAGCCACAUUCACUGCCGCCUGCACUUCUCUGCCCAGGUGGGCGCUUGGCGUCAAGAUGAUUAAGAUGAUUGAUUUAGAGACUAUGAUUGCCAUUGGCGGCGGCUUACUGAUCGCGGCCUUUCUGCUGAUGUGCUGUGUCAUCUGUCUUUACUGCAAAGUGGCCAACACAUUGAAGUGAAUGACGUGAGUAAGAGUGAAUAGCACCCCCCUCAAAUGGGAUUCCUGGGGCUCUCUGCUUGAGCAGGGCCAUUCCUUGCCCUGUGGCCACACCCUGGGUGAGGUCAGCAACAGCAGGCGGUUUGAAAAGGCAAAGGCAGGUGCAUAGAAUCUUGGCUUCCUCCCCUUCUGGCUUGGGGCUGUGAGCUCAUAAGCAGAGUGUUCUCAGCGGGCGGCUCUGUGUGUCACGGCUGCUCUGCUGUCCCUUGACCUCACUGAGGUGACCCCCAGCUGGUUAAAUCAGCGCUGCGGCUGGGCCCUCCUGCUGCCCCAGGCUGCAGACGGGACUGCGGGGAAGGCAGCUUCGUGUUCACACAGAGCACGGGCUGAAUCCGUCUCCUCUGGCCUGAGCUGGGGAGCCCUCAGUGUGUCCUCUCACUCACUGCCAUGGCCUUGGGGUCAGGGAGGUGGGCCUGUGGGACUAUGGGGAGGCUGAGCUGUGUGAAGAUCCUGGGGGAUACCUGACAGUGGGGUGUAGGUCAGGAAAAUUAACUUGGAGCUCUUUUCAAAAUUUUUCUUACUUUACCUGGAGCAGAGCAGCAAUUGUUGACCAAGUAAAGCAAAGUUUUAAGUUUGGGGCAGUUUGAGCGGGUCGGUGACUCACAGAGCCCAGUGCCAGGCCUGUGGCACCUCCCAUGGUGCUCCACGGCAGCCAGAUGGGGACUGGGACACUGACCAGGUCAGACCAGUCCCCGGUGGCCAAGCCUGCAGCUGCGUCCUAGCAUUCAUUUUGCCCUUAUUUAACAUUUACCAAAAUGGCUGGGAAGGAAAGGAUUGAGUCGGAAUUCGGGAGUGGGGCAGAGAGGCAUAAUCGAGGGCCGGGUCACAUGGUGUGAUGUGCUCAGCCGAGAACCUCUAGACAAUUGUAAGAAAUGGGCUUAAAAUAAAGAAAUCUAAUCUAAUGCUUUUCA